UGCACAUAAUGUCUAAGUAUUACUGCAAAAAUAGAUUUGACCUCACAUACUCCCCGGCAGGGCCUCAAGGCUCUUCGACAUUCAUUCCCCACCACACUCUGAGAACCACCAUGCAUGCCAUGCCGACUCACACUAGAGCCAGUGGCACAGUGCAAGGCACAGGGAAUACAGGUUACCAUGGGGCCCAUGCUGGGGCAUCACUCGGGCAGACCUGCCCCAUCAAAGCUUAUCUUAUCCACUGCAGUGUUCCAUGAACCAACUUCAAGCCCUCACUGCUCUGAUGCAUUGGGGCUUAAGCCAAUGAUUUCUCCCCCAAAGAUGGCUGACAGGACAGGCCCCACCCAGAGAAGCCUCUGCCGUGCUGGUCAGUGCUCUCAGGUCUGUCGUGGACUGAAGAACAGAUGGCAGAGCUGGAAGCCCUGCAUCACACACUGGCUGAUCCACUGCAGUCCUAACACAGAAGCUUAUCAGCUGCUCGAACUGAACAUAUAUCCAGUAUACAGCCAGGAAACGGGAAGAACGGCAGAAAGAUAAAGCCUAUCUGGCCACAAUGUCAACAUUAGCCUUUCUCUGGCCCUCUG
rnacentral:lncRNA from 1 species